rnacentral:lncRNA from 1 species
AACUCAUUGUUGGCCUUUAUGGACCUCAACCUCAUGGUGAGCUGGAAGCAUAGGAAGUUGUUGGUGCCUAUGGCCUGGAGACCCAGCAGCUCACACAAUGCCACCAGCUGCUGGCAGGUGAGGUUAUCCAGGGUCAGCUCAUCCUCAAAUAAUUUGGGAAAGCGCAUGAUUUCUUCAUUGUUAGGUCUUUCCUGUCUCUCAGAUCUUCUGGAAAAACAUGGAGAAGGCUUUGGCAGUCCUCCCCUUGGCUUCUUUUCUCCUCGAUGGUGUCCGUCGCCAAGGUGGGGAGAUGAGUGCCAGCAGCAUGCAGGACGGUCCUGAGGUCCCAUGACCACCAAACAUGGUGCCGCCGUAGCCACUGUGUGCCAGCUAGGGAGACAGUAGGCCUGUAAACAGACAGUCACAGUAGCAUGUGCCAAAGUCUGGAAUAACGACGGGUGUCUGGGGGCUGUGCAAGCUCUCGGAGAGGACUCAGGGUUUACCUGUGCCAAGUGCGGGGAGAGCCGUAAGGGGAUGCGUCCCUGAGGAAGGGACAGGUAAGCAAGAGCACUGAGAAGCCAAAAUAGUAAAAGACUCCAAGGCACACAACCAACAGGUAGCUCCAGGGGAUCACAGUGGCUGGACUUGGGUGGGAGGAGACAAUUG